CAAACCAAAUUCACUCACCACGGAUGUGUAAUUCUCCCUCCUUCUCGAUCUGUCUAUGGCUUUUUCUUCUUCUCGUCAAAUCUGUUUGGUUCUGGGUAAUAGUUAUGGGUACUGGUUCAUGAUUCUUCGUCGGGUUCUUUCACCAGGAUGUACGAGCUCUCUCCAUUGUCUCUAACGAGGAUCGAUCUAAGAGCAUUGAUUGGAGGUGGUUUUGUUCUCUGUCUAGAUCUGAAUCAGAUGUAAUUGAACAGAUCUAGAAGUCUCUCAGUCUGCCUAUGGCUCUCUUAGACCAACGUCAUGGAUCCUGAUUCCCGACCUAUGUCGCUAAAGCUACAGACUUGAAUCAAGAUAAUUGUGCUUGGGUUUUGAAGAUAAUCGUGUUAGAUCAACCAGGAAUUUUGCUGGCAUAAUUUUGCAUACCUACUUUCUUCAACUGAUUUGGGGAAGUUGUGAGGAAUGAAAUUACAGCCUAGCUGAAAAAGAAAGAGCCAAGGCAGGAGCAAUUUUUCUGCUUUUUUGAGAAAAAAAAAAAAAAGACAAACCGGCGGCAUCGCAAUUUUUUU